GUGACCUCAAAUCAGGUAGGACUACCCGCUGAACUUAAGCAUAUCAAUAAGCGGAGGAAAAGAAACUAACAAGGAUUCCCCUAGUAACUGCGAGUGAAGCGGGAAAAGCUCAAAUUUAAAAUCUGGCGGUCUUUGGCUGUCCGAGUUGUAAUCUAGAGAAGUGUUAUCCGCGCUGGACCGUGUACAAGUCUCCUGGAAUGGAGCAUCAUAGAGGGUGAGAAUCCCGUCUUUGACAUGGACUGCCAGGGCUUUGUGAUGCGCUCUCAAAGAGUCGAGUUGUUUGGGAAUGCAGCUCAAAAUGGGUGGUAAAUUCCAUCUAAAGCUAAAUAUUGGCGAGAGACCGAUAGCGAACAAGUACCGUGAGGGAAAGAUGAAAAGAACUUUGGAAAGAGAGUUAAACAGUACGUGAAAUUGCUGAAAGGGAAACGCUUGAAGUCAGUCGCGUCGUCCAGGGAUCAACCUUGCUUUUGCUUGGUGCACUUUCUGGUUCGAUGGGUCAGCAUCAAUUUUGACUGUUGGAAAAAGGUCAAGGGAAUGUGGCAUCUUUGGAUGUGUUUAUAGCCCUUGGUCACAUACAAUGGUUGGGAUUGAGGAACUCAGCACGCCGCAAGGCCGGGUUUAAACC
rnacentral:rRNA from 1 species